rnacentral:lncRNA from 1 species
GGGCGUGUACCUGGAAAAGGUAGAAUCCGUGCGAGUAUCCAAAAACUGUUCCCACGAGUACCGGAAAAGGGUCGAAUCUAUGAGAGUACCCAAAAAUGGUAGAAUCCGGGCAAGUACCGGGAAAAGGUAGAAUCCGUGCGAGUGUCAAAAGACUUUCCCGACGAGUACCGUAAAAGGGUCGAAUCUGUGGGAGUACCAAAAAAUUGUAGCAUGCCGACGUGUACAGGGAAAAUGUAGAAUUCGUUCGAGUAGCCAAAAACUGUCCUGACAAGUACCGAAAAAGGGUCGAAUCUGUGGGAGUAACGAAAAAUGGUAGAAUCCAGGCGAGUACCGUGAAAAGGUACAAUCCGUACAAGUAUCCAAAAACUUUCCCCAUGAGUACCGGAAAAGGUUCGAAUCUGUGGGAGUACAAAAAAAUGGUAGAAUCCGGGCGAGUACCGGGAAAAGGUAGAAUCCAUGUGAGUAUCAAAAAACUGUUCCCACGAGUACCGGAAAAGGGUCGAAUCUGUGGGAGUACCGAAAAAUGGUAGAUUCCGUGCGAGUUACCAAAAGUUGUCCCCAUGAGUACCGGAAAAGGGUCGAAUCUGUGGGAGUACCGAAAAAUGAUAGAAUCCGGGCGUGUACCGGGAAAAGGUAGAAUCCGUGCGAGUAUCCAAAAAUUGUUCCCACGAGUACCGGAAAAGGGUCGAAUCUGUGGGAGUAUCGGAAAAUGGUAGAAUCCGGGCGAGUACCGGGAAAAGGUAGAAUCCGUACGAGUUACAAAAAGUUGUCCCCACGAGUACCGGAAAAGAGUCGAAUCUGUGGGAGUACCGAAAAUUGAUAGAAUCGGGGCGUGUACCGGGAAAAGGUAGAAUCGGUGCGAGUAUCCAAAAAAUGUUCCCACGCGUACCGGAAAACGGUCGAAUCUAUGAGACUACUGAAAAACGGUAGAAUCCGUGCGAGUACGGGGAAAAUGUAGAAUCCGUGCGAGUGUCAAAAAACAUUCCCGACGAGUACCGAAAAAUGGUCGAAUCUGUAGGAGUACCGGAAAAGGGUCGACUCUCUGGGAGUACCGAAAAAUGAUAGAAUCCGGGCGUGUACCGGGAAAAGGUAGAAUCCGUGCGAGUAUCCAAAAACUGUUCCCACGAGUACAGGAAAAGGGUCGAAUCUAUGAGAGUACCCAAAAACAGUAGAAUCCGGGAGAGUACCGGGAAAAGGUAGAAUCCGUGCGAGUGUCAAAAGACUUUCCCGACGAGUACCGGAAAAGGGUCGAAUCUGUGGGAGUACCAAAAAAUUGUAGCAUGCCGACGAGUACAGGGAAAAUGUAGAAUUCGUGCGAGUAGCCAAAAACUGUCCUGACAAGUACCGGAAAAGGGUCUAAAUUGUGCGAGUAACGAAAAAUUGUAGAAUCCAGGCGAGUACCGUGAAAAGGUACAAUCCGUACUAGUAUCCAAAAACUUUCCCCACGAGUACCGGAAAAGGGUCGAAUCUGUGGGAGUACCGAAAAACAGUAGAAUCCGAGUGAGUACGGGGAAACGGUAGAAUCCGUGCGAGUAUCCAAAACUGGUCGCACGAGUACCGGAAAAUGGUCGAAUCUAUGAGAGUACCGAAAACGUUAGAAUCCGGGAGAGUACCGGGAAAAGGUAGAAUUCGUGUGAGUAACCAAAAGUUGUCCCCACGAGUACCGGAAAAGGGUCGAAUCUGUGGGAGUACAGAAAAAUGAUAUAAUCGGGGCGUGUACCGAGAAAAGGUAGAAUCCCUGCAAAGUAACCAAAAGCUAUUCCCACGAGUACCGGAAAAGGGUCGAAUCUGUGGGAGUACCGAAAAAUGAUAGAAUCUGGGCGUGUACCGGGAAAAGGUAGAAUCCGUGCGAGUAUCCAAAUACUGUUCCCACGAGUACCGGAAAAUGGUCGAAUCUAUGAGAGUCCCGAAAAACGGUAGAAUCCGGGCGAGUACGGGGAAAAUGUAGAAACCGUGCGAGUGUCAAAAAACUUUCCCAACGAGUACCGGAAAAUGGUUGAAUCCGGGCGAGUGUAGGUAAAAGGUAGAAUCCGUGCGAGGAACCAAAAGUUGUCCCCACGAGUACCGGAAAAGGGUCGAAUCUCUUGGAGUACCGAAAGAAGAUAGAAUCCGGGCGUGUACAGGGAAAAGGUAGAAUCCGUGCAAGUUACCAAAAGUUGUUCCCACGAGUACCGGAAAAGAGUCGAAUCUGUGUGAGCACCGAAAAAUGAUAGAAUCUGGGCGUGUACCGGGAAAAGGUAGAAUCCGUGCGAGUAUGAAAAAACAUUCUCGACGAGUACCGGAAAGAGGUCGAAUCUGUGGGAAUACCGAAAAAUGGUAGAAUCCGGGCGAGUACAAGUAAAAGGUAGAAUCCAUGCGAGUAACCAAAAGUUGUCCCCACGAGUACCGGAAAAGGGUCGAAUCUCUGGGAGUACCGAGAAAUGAUAGAAUCGGGGUGUGUACUGGGAAAGGUAGAAUCCGUGCGAGUAUCCAAAAAAUGUUCCCACGAGUACCGGAAAAUGGUCGAAUCUAUGAGAAUACCGAAAAACGGUAGAAUCCGGGCGAGUACGGGGAAAAGGUAGAAUCCGUGCUAGUGUCAAAAAACUUUCCCAACGAGUACUGGAAAAGGGUCGAAUCUGUGGGAGUACCGAAAAAUGAUAGAAUCGGGGCGUGUACCGGGAAAAGGUAGAAUCCGUGCGAGUAUUCAAGAACUGUUCCCACGAGUACCGGAAAAGGGUCGAAUCUGUGGGAGUACCGAAAAAUGGUGGAAUCCGGGCGAGUACCGGGAAAAGGUAGAAUCCGUGCGAGUGUCAAAAGACUUUCCAGACCAAUACCGGAAAAGGGUCGAAUCUGUGGGAGUACCGAAAAAUUGUAGCAUGCCGACGAGUACAGGAAGAUGUAGAAUUCGUGCGAGUAGCCAAAAACUGUCCUGACAGGUAACGGAAAACGGUCGAAUCUGUGGGAGUAACGAAAAAUGGUAGAAUCCAGGCGAGUACCGUGAAAAGGUACAAUCCGUACUAGUAUCCAAAAACUUUCCCCACGAGUACCGGAAAAGGGUCGAAUCGUUGGGAGUACAAAAAAAUGGUAGAAUCCGGGCGAGUACCGAGAAAAGGUAGAAUCCGUGCAAAGUAACCAAAUGCUAUUCCCACGAGUACCGGAAAAGGGUCGAAUCUGUGGGAGUACCAAAAAAUGAUAGAAUCUGGGCGUGUACCGGGAAAUGGUAGAAUCCGUGCGAGUAUCCAAAUACUGUUCCCACGAGUACCGGAAAAUGGUCGAAUCUAUGAGAGUCCCGAAAAACGGUAGAAUCCGGGCGAGUACGGGGAAAAUGUAGAAACCGUGCGAGUGUCAAAAAACUUUCCCAACGAGUACCGGAAAAUGGUUGAAUCCGGGCGAGUGUAGGUAAAAGGUAGAAUCCGUGCGAGGAACCAAAAGUUGUCCCCACGAGUACCGGAAAAGGGUCGAAUCUCUUGGAGUACCGAAAGAAGAUAGAAUCCGGGCGUGUACAGGGAAAAGGUAGAAUCCGUGCAAGUUACCAAAAGUUGUUCCCACGAGUNNNNNNNNNNNNNNNNNNNNNNNNNNNNNNNNNNNNNNNNNNNNNNNNNNNNNNNNNNNNNNNNNNNNNNNNNNNNNNNNNNNNNNNNNNNNNNNNNNNNCCAGUAAAGGGUCGAAUCUGUGGGAGUUCCGAAAAAUGGUAGCAUCCCGACGAGUAUAGGGAAAAUGUAGAAUUCGUGCGAUUAGCCAAAAACUGUCCUGACAAGUACCGGAAAAUGGUCGAAUCUGUGGGAGUACAAAAAAAUGGUAGAAUCCGGUAGAGUACCGGGAAAAGGUAGAAUCCGUGCGAGUAAGCAAAAGCUGUUCCCACGAAUACCGGAAAAGGGUCGAAUCUGUGGGAGUACCGAAAAAUGAUAGAAUCGGGGCGUGUACCGGGAAAAGGUAGAAUCCGUGCGAGUAUUCAAGAACUGUUCCCACGAGUACCGGAAAAGGGUCGAAUCUGUGGGAGUACCGAAAAAUGGUGGAAUCCGGGCGAGUACCGGGAAAAGGUAGAAUCCGUGCGAGUGUCAAAAGACUUUCCAGACCAAUACCGGAAAAGGGUCGAAUCUGUGGGAGUACCGAAAAAUUGUAGCAUGCCGACGAGUACAGGAAGAUGUAGAAUUCGUGCGAGUAGCCAAAAACUGUCCUGACAGGUAACGGAAAACGGUCGAAUCUGUGGGAGUAACGAAAAAUGGUAGAAUCCAGGCGAGUACCGUGAAAAGGUACAAUCCGUACUAGUAUCCAAAAACUUUCCCCACGAGUACCGGAAAAGGGUCGAAUCGUUGGGAGUACAAAAAAAUGGUAGAAUCCGGGCGAGUACCGAGAAAAGGUAGAAUCCGUGCAAAGUAACCAAAUGCUAUUCCCACGAGUACCGGAAAAGGGUCGAAUCUGUGGGAGUACCAAAAAAUGAUAGAAUCUGGGCGUGUACCGGGAAAUGGUAGAAUCCGUGCGAGUAUCCAAAAACUGUUCCCACGAGUACCGGAAAAGGGUCAAAUCUAUGGGAGUACCGAAAAACGGUAGAAUCCGGGCGAGUACGGGGAAAAGGUAGAAUCCGUGCGACUAUCGAAAAACUGGUCCCACGAGUACGGGAAAAUGGUCGAAUCUAUGAGAUUACCGAAAAACAUUAGAAUCCGGGAGAGUACCGGCAAAAGGUAGAAUUCGUGUGAGUAACCAAAAGCUGUCCCCAUGAGUACCGGAAAAGGGUCGAAUCUGUGGGAGUACAGAAAAAUGAUAGAAUCUGGGCGUGUACCGGGAAAAGGUGGAAUUCGUACGAGUAUCCAAAAACUGUUCCCACGAGAACCGGAAAAUGGUCGAAUCUAAGAGAGUACCGAAAAACGAUAGAAUCCAGGCGAGUACGGGGAAAAUGUAGAAACCGUGCGAGUGUCAAAAACCUUUCCCAACUAGUACCGGAAAAGGGUCGAAACUAUGGGAGUACCGAAAAAUGGUAGAAUCCGGGCGAGUAUAGGUAAAAGGUAGAAUCCGUGCGAGUAACCAAAAGUUGUCCCCACGAGUACCGCAAAAGGGUCGAAUCUCUGGGAGUACCGAAAAAUGAUAGAAUCCGGGCGUGUACCAGGAAAAGGUAGAAUCCGUGCGAGUAUCCAAAAACUGUUCCCACGAGUACCGAAAAAGGGUCGAAUCUAUGAGAGUACCUAAAACCGGUAGAAUCCCGGCGAGUAUUGGGAAAAGGUAGAAUCUGUGGGAGUACAAAAAAAUGGUAGAAUCCGGGCGAGUAUUGGGAAAAGGUAGAAUCCGUGCAAAGUAACCAAAAGCUGUUCCCACGAGUACCGGAAAAGGGUCGAAUCUGUGGGACUACCGAAAAAUGAUAGAAUCGGGGCGUGUACCGGGAAAAGUAAGAAUCUGUGCGAGUAUCCAAAAACUGUUCCCACGAGUACCGGAAAAUGAUCAAAUCCAUGAGAGUACCGAAAAACGGUAGAAUCCGGGAGAGUACCGGGAAAAGGUAGAAUCCGUGCGAGUAACCAAAAGUUGUCGCCACGAGUACCGGAAAAGGGUCGAAUCUAUGCGAGUACAGAAAAAUGAUAGAAUCGGGGCGUGUACCGGGAAAAGGUAGAAUCCGUGCGAGUAUCCAAAAAAUGUUCCCACGAGUACCGGAAAAUGGUCGAAUUUAUGAGAGUACCGAAAAACAGUAGAAUCCGGGCGAGUACAGGGAAAAUGUAGAAUCCGUGCGAGGGUCAAAAAACAUUCCCAACGAGUACCGGAAAAGGGUCGAAUCUGUGGGAGUACCGAAAAAUGGUAAAAUCCGGGCAAGUAUAGGUAAAAGGUAGAAUCCGUGCGAGUAACCAAAAGUUGUCCCCACGAGUACCGGAAAAGGGUCGAAUCUCUUAGAGUACGGAAAAAUGAUAGAAUCCGGGCGUGUACCGGGAAAAGGUAGAAUCCGUGCGAGUAUCCAAAAACUGUUCCCACGAGUACCGGAAAAGGGUCGAAUCUAUGAGAGUACCCAAAAACGGUAGAAUCCGGGCGAGUACCGGGAAAAGGUAGAAUCCGUGCGAGUGUCAAAAGACUUUCCCGACGAGUACCCGAAAAGAGUCGAAUCUGUGGGAGUACCGAAAAAUGGUAGCAUCCCGACGAGUACAGGGAAAUUGUAGAAUUCGUGCGAGUAGCCAAAAACUGUCCUGACAAGUACCGGAAAAGGGUCAAAUCUGUGGGAGUAACGAAAAAUGGUAGAAUUCGGGCGAGUACGGGGAAAAGGUAGAAUCCGUACGAGUAUCAAAAGUUGUUCCCACGAGUACCGGAAAAGGGUCGAAUCUGUGGGAGUACCGAAAAAUGAUAGAAUCUAGGCGUGUACCGGGAAAAGGUAGAAUCCGUGCGAGUAUAAAAAAACUGUUCCCACGAGUAUCAGAAAAUAUUCGAAUCUAUGAGAGUACAGAAAAACAGUAGAAUCCGGGCGAGUACCGGGAAAAGGUAGAAUCAAUGCGAGUAACCAAAAGCUGUCCCCACGAGUACCGAGAAAGGGUCGAAUCUCUGGGAGUACCGAAAAAUGAUAGAAUCCGGGCGUGUACCGGGAAAAGGUAGAAUCCGUGCGAGUAUCCAAAAACUGUUCCCACGAGUACCGGAAAAGGGUCGAAUCUAUGAGAGUACCCAAAAACGGUAGAAUCCGGGCGAGUACCGAGAAAAGGUAGAAUCCGUGCGAGUGUCAAAAGACUUUCCCGACGAGUACCAGUAAAGGGUCGAAUCUGUGGGAGUUCCGAAAAAUGGUAGCAUCCCGACGAGUAUAGGGAAAAUGUAGAAUUCGUGCGAUUAGCCAAAAACUGUCCUGACAAGUACCGGAAAAUGGUCGAAUAUGUGGGAGUACAAAAAAAUGGUAGAAUCCGGUAGAGUACCGGGAAAAGGUAGAAUCCGUGCGAGUAAGCAAAAGCUGUUCCCACGAAUACCGGAAAAGGGUCGAAUCUGUGGGAGUACCGAAAAAUGAUAGAAUCUGGGCGUGUACCUAGAAAAGGUAAAAUCCGUGCGAGUAUCCAAAAACUGUUCCCACGAGUACCGGAAAAUGGUCGAAUCUAUGAGAGUACCUAAAAACGGUUGAAUCCGACAGAGUACCAGGAAAAGGUAGAAUCUGUACGAGUAACCAAAAGCUGUCCCCACGAGUACCGGAAAAGAGUCGAAUCUGUGGGAGUACAGAAAAAUGAUAGAAUCGGGGCGUGUACCGGGAAAAGGUAGAAUUAGUGCGAGUAUCCAAAAACUUUUCCCACGAGUACCGGAAAAGGUCAAAUCUGUGGGAAUACUGAAAAAUCGUAGAAUCCAAGCGAGUCCCGGGAAAAGGUAGAAUCCGUGCAAGUUACCAAAAGUUGUCCCCACGAGUACCGGAAAAGGGACGAAUCUAUGGGAGUACAGAAAAAUGAUAGAAUCGGGGCGUGUACCGAGAAAAGGUAGAAUCCGUGCGAGUAUCCAAAAACUGUUCCCAUGAGUACCGGAAAAGGGUCGAAUCUAUGAGAGUACCCAAAAACGUUAGAAUCCGGGCGAGUACCGGGAAAAGGUAGAAUCCGUGCGAGUGUCAAAAGACUUUCCCGACGAGUACCCGAAAAGAGUCGAAUCUGUGGGAGUACCGAAAAAUGGUAGCAUCCCGACGAGUACAGGGAAAUUGUAGAAUUCGUGCGAGUAGCCAAAAACUGUCCUGACAAGUACCGGAAAAGGGUCAAAUCUGUGGGAGUAACGAAAAAUGGUAGAAUCCGGGCGAGUACGGGGAAAAGGUAGAAUCCGUACGAGUAUCAAAAGUUGUUCCCACGAGUACCGGAAAAGGGUCGAAUCUGUGGGAGUACCGAAAAAUGAUAGAAUCUAGGCGUGUACCGGGAAAAGGUAGAAUCCGUGCGAGUAUAAAAAAACUGUUCCCACGAGUAUCAGAAAAUAUUCGAAUCUAUGAGAGUACAGAAAAACAGUAGAAUCCGGGCGAGUACCGGGAAAAGGUAGAAUCAAUGCGAGUAACCAAAAGCUGUCCCCACGAGUACCGAGAAAGGGUCGAAUCUCUGGGAGUACCGAAAAAUGAUAGAAUCCGGGCGUGUACCGGGAAAAGGUAGAAUCCGUGCGAGUAUCCAAAAACUGUUCCCACGAGUACCGGAAAAGGGUCGAAUCUAUGAGAGUACCCAAAAACGGUAGAAUCCGGGCGAGUACCGAGAAAAGGUAGAAUCCGUGCGAGUGUCAAAAGACUUUCCCGACGAGUACCAGUAAAGGGUCGAAUCUGUGGGAGUUCCGAAAAAUGGUAGCAUCCCGACAAGUAUAGGGAAAAUGUAGAAUUCGUGCGAUUAGCCAAAAACUGUCCUGACAAGUACCGGAAAAUGGUCGAAUCUGUGGGAGUACAAAAAAAUGGUAGAAUCCGGUAGAGUACCGGGAAAAGGUAGAAUCCGUGCGAGUAAGCAAAAGCUGUUCCCACGAAUACCGGAAAAGGGUCGAAUCUGUGGGAGUACCGAAAAAUGAUAGAAUCUGGGCGUGUACCUAGAAAAGGUAGAAUCCGUGCGAGUAUCCAAAAACUGUUCCCAUGAGUACCGGAAAAUGGUCGAAUCUAUGAGAAUACCGAAAAACGGUAGAAUCCGGGCGAGUACCGGGAAAAGGUAGAAUCCGUGCGAGUAACCAAAAGUUGUUCCCACGAGUACCGAAAAAGGGUCGAAUCUGUGGGAGUACUAAAAAAUGGUAGAAUCCGGG